rnacentral:rRNA from 1 species
UACGUAGGGGGCAAGCGUUGUCCGGAUUUAUUGGGCGUAAAGAGCGUGUAGGCGGCUUGACAAGUCUGCUGUGAAAACUUGAGGCUCAACCUCAAGCUGUCGGCGGAAACUGUCAGGCUAGAGUCCGGAAGAGGAGAGUGGAAUUCCUGGUGUAGCGGUGAAAUGCGCAGAUAUCAGGAAGAACACCUAUGGCGAAGGCAGCUCGCUGGGACGGUACUGACGCUGAGACGCGAAAGCGUGGGGAGCGAACAGG